rnacentral:rRNA from 1 species
UACGAAGGGGCUAGCGUUGUUCGGAAUCACUGGGCGUAAAGCGCACGUAGGCGGAUGUGCCAGUCAGGGGUGAAAUCCCGGAGCUCAACUCCGGAACUGCCUCUGAUACAGCACGUCUUGAGUUCGAGAGAGGUGGGUGGAAUUCCUAGUGUAGAGGUGAAAUUCGUAGAUAUUAGGAAGAACACCGGUGGCGAAGGCGGCCCACUGGCUCGAUACUGACGCGUGAG